GAGGAGGAGGAGGCCGCGCAGACACGGACAGCUCGACUGAAGGCUUCGCCCGCUGUUAACACCACGGCGCCUCGGCAGCAGUCAAAACCAACUGCAAAGCCCGCCGUCACAUUUCCGACCAAGCCCGGAAAACACAGAGGUGAAGGUGUCUGUGUUGAACAUACGUGGCCCCUACUCGACUGACAUUAUACGACCAGCCAACAUGCCUGCCACAAGCAGUGUACCAGUGCAUAGACCAAAGCCUCCUGUCUCCCACGUGAAAGCUCAUUCAGCCAGUGAACCUGUCAGCUCCAGCACUGUGUCAAAGCAACCGUAAAUGCCAACCACCAUGUUGCAGAUAGGAGCAUGUCUUAACAAAGGCAGUGUUUCCAGGACUGGAUCAUCCACACAGCGUCUGAUAGGCCACUCCCCUGGGCUACGUCUGCUGUGCUUACCAGGGGUCUCUUGUCUCUGAACUAAAGGACUGCUUAAUCAUCAGAUGUCUGCAUCAGAACCACAAGACGACACCUAAUGGCCCAGCAGCUGUAUUUAGUCACUGACAUUUCAUCUGAGCUCCUGCAUGCUUGAAGAAGCCCAGCUUUCCUGUAGGUAUCUGCAUAACUGUU